AUGGGACCGAGGGUCCACAAGAAGUCAACGCCGAGGAUGAAGUCGAAGCAGCCCAAGUCGAUGCCGGCGCAUGUGAUGGUGAAGUGCUCGUCGCCGAUGGUGAUGGGCACGUUUUGCGCCAACCCGUGGCAGCAGAGUCGGUCGCCGUUAGCCACGGUGACCCGGAGUUGCUCCCCUCCCGUCGGCUGUAGCGCUAAGCGGCGCCGGUGGCGGCCCCCACCGAGACGGUGCCGCCUGCUGCAAGGCCUGCGUGCGACGCUCGAAGGCGCGGGCGUAGUACAUCGCCGUCUAGAGGUCCCGGGGUCCCCGAAGCUCCAUGUCCACACGGAUAUGAUCCGGUAG
rnacentral:rRNA from 1 species